UGCCUAACACAUGCAAGUCGAACGCGAAAGUUUCCUUCGGGAGAUGAGUAGAGUGGCGCACGGGUGAGUAACACGUAGGUGAUUUACCUUUGGGUGGAGAAUAACAAUCGGAAACGAUUGCUAAUACUGCAUAAUGCAGCGGCUCGACAUCGAGACAGUUGUUAAAGUAGGGUCGAAAGAUCUUAUGCCUAAAGAAAAGCCUGCGGCAGAUUAGCUAGAUGGUAGGGUAAUGGCUUACCAUGGCGACGAUCUGUAGCCGGCCUGAGAGGGCGGUCGGCCACACUGACACUGAAUAACGGGUCAGACUCCUACGGGAGGCAGCAGUCGGGAAUUUUGGGCAAUGAGCGAAAGCUUGACCCAGCAACGCCGCGUGAAGGAUGAAGUUCUUCGGGAUGUAAACUUCAGAAGGAUAGGAAGAAUAAGCUUAAUUAAAUAUUAAGUGAUGACGGUACUGUCUUUAAGCUCCGGCUAACUCCGUGCCAGCAGCCGCGGUAAUACGGGGGGGGCAAGCGUCGUUCGGAUUUACUGGGCGUAAAGGGCGCGUAGGCGGCGUGGUAAGUCGCUUGUGAAAUCUUCGGGCUCAACCCGAAAUGGUCAAGUGAUACUGCUGUGCUAGAGUGUGAAAUGGGCAACUGGAAUUCUCGGUGUAGCGGUGAAAUGCGUAGAUAUCGAGAGGAACAUCUGUGGCGAAGGCAAGGUUGCUGGGUCAACACUGACGCUGAGGCGCGAAAGCUAGGGGAGCGAACGGGAUUUAGAUACCCCCGGUAGUCCUAGCCUUAAACGAUGGAUGCUUGGUGUCUGAGGUUUAUAUUCCUCGGGUGCCGUCGCUAACGCAUUAAGCAUCCCGCCUGGGGAGUACGGUCGCAAGACUGAAACUCAAAGGAAUUGACGGGGACCCGCACAAGCGGUGGAGCAUGUGGUUUAAUUCGACGCAACGCGAAGAACCUUACCUGGAUUAGAAUGCCUAUGAUUGCCUCGUAAUGGGGGUGUCUUGGGUAACACCAAGCAUAGUGCAAGGUGCUGCAUGGCUGUCGUCAGCUCGUGUCGUGAGAUGUUGGGUUAAGUCCCGCAACGAGCGCAACCCUUAUCAACAGUUGCCAUCAUUAAGUUGGGAACUCUGUUGAGACUGCCGUUGAUAAAACGGAGGAAGGUGGGGAUGACGUCAAGUCCUCAUGGCCUUUAUAUUCAGGGCUACACACGUGCUACAAUGGCUGGUACAAAGCGUUGCAAACCUGCAAGGGGGAGCCAAUCGCAAAAAACCAGUCUCAGUUCGGAUUGCACUCUGCAACUCGAGUGCAUGAAGCUGGAAUCGCUAGUAAUCGCAAAUCAGCAUGUUGCGGUGAAUACGUUCCCGGGUCUUGCACACACCGCCCGUCAC
rnacentral:rRNA from 1 species